rnacentral:autocatalytically_spliced_intron from 1 species
AACCGCCGUAUACGAGACCCGUACGUACGGUGGUGUGAGGGGUGCUCCGCAGGCUUAUGGCCUGCGGCCAUCCACUCGAU